rnacentral:tRNA from 1 species
CUUUUCACUUAUUUCACUUAGUAGUAGAGUAAUGCCAUGUUAAGACAGAAGUCAUCGGUUCGAAUCCGAUAAGG